rnacentral:rRNA from 1 species
CGUGUAGGCGGUUAUGUAAGUCAGAUGUGAAAGUCUUCCGCUUAACGGAAGAAGUGCAUUUGAAACUACAUGACUGGAGUACGGGAGAGGAGAGUGGAAUUCCCGGUGUAGAGGUGAAAUUCGUAGAUAUCGGGAGGAACACCAGUGGCGAAGGCGGCUCUCUGGCCUGAUACUGACGCUGAGACGCGAAAGCGUGGGGAGCAAACAGGAUUAGAUACCCUGGUAGUCCACGCCGUAAACGAUGGGCACUAGGUGUAGGAGGUAUUGACCCCUUCUGUGCCGAAGCUAACGCAUUAAGUGCCCCGCCUGGGGAGUACGGCCGCAAGGUUAAA